rnacentral:rRNA from 1 species
CGCUGGCGGCAUGCUUUACACAUGCAAGUCGAACGGCAGCGCGGGGCAACCUGGCGGCGAGUGGCGAACGGGUGAGUAAUAUAUCGGAACGUACCCAGGAGUGGGGGAUAACGUAGCGAAAGUUACGCUAAUACCGCAUACGACCUAAGGGUGAAAGUGGGGGACGGCCUUGGCCGCCUCAUGCUCAUGGAGCGGCCGAUAUCUGAUUAGCUAGUUGGUGGGGUAAAGGCCCACCAAGGCAACGAUCAGUAGCUGGUCUGAGAGGACGACCAGCCACACUGGAACUGAGACACGGUCCAGACUCCUACGGGAGGCAGCAGUGGGGAAUUUUGGACAAUGGGCGCAAGCCUGAUCCAGCAAUGCCGCGUGAGUGAAGAAGGCCUUCGGGUUGUAAAGCUCUUUUGUCAGGGAAGAAACGACCCCUUCUAAUACAGGGGGUUAAUGACGGUACCUGAAGAAUAAGCACCGGCU